rnacentral:rRNA from 1 species
CGCCUCUUGCAACCCUAAGAAUAAGAGGUCCCGCCUGCCCUGUGAUCAUGUAUUUAACGGCCGCGGUAUUUUGACCGUGCAAAGGUAGCGCAAUCACUUGUCUUUUAAAUGAAGACCUGUAUGAAUGGCAUAACGAGGGCUUAACUGUCUCCCUUUUCCCAUCAAUGAAAUUGACCUCCCCGUGCAGAGGCGGGGAUCCCCCCAUAAGACGAGAAGACCCUGUGGAGCUUUAGACGCUUGGGGCAGCCUGUGUUAAGAAAACUACCAAACUAGCCAAAACUAAUCAGGCCCUUCCCCACUGUCUUUGGUUGGGGCGACCGCGGGGCAGUAAACAACCCCCACGUAGAGUAAGGGGUCUACCCCCUUAGAACCAAGAGCUACAACUCUAUUAGCCAGGACACCUGACUAUAAUUGAUCCGGCAGUGCCGAUCAACGGACCGAGUUACCCCAGGGAUAACAGCGCAAUCCUCUUCCAGAGCCCAUAUCGACAAGAGGGUUUACGACCUCGAUGUUGGAUCAGGACAUCCUAAUGGUGCAGCCGCUAUUAAGGGU